rnacentral:tRNA from 8 species
GUUAAGGUAGCAUAGUUCCGUAAAUGCAAAAGACCUAAGCCCUUUCCACAGAGGUUCAAGUCCUCUCCUUAACU